AUGGGAUGCCCUCCUCAUCCCCCCAGGGCUGCCCAGACCCCAGCCCCGAGACCGGGCGCACGGCGGCGGGUUUCCCGGUGGUACGUGAUCCUGUGGCGAGGACCCCGUUCCAUGGAAGCUGGAGGGACCUCACCGAGAAGACACACGAGCGCGCACAUCCAAACACACACGUACGAGCAUGCACACGCACAUCGCGCCCUAAGUAGGUUAGAGGACCUCCGGGUGCCCCCCCCGACACACACAGGCGCGCGCACACGCCGCUGCACACGCAGGCUCACACACUCACACACACUCACACACGCACACGGCGGCACAUCAAGUUCCCAGCGCGGCGCACACGUCGGGAGCGCGCGGGGGGCGCACACGCCGCUGCUGGGGCCCGCGUCUGACCCCGGGGGCGCGGGGGGCGCGGGGGGCGCGGCGGGGGCGCCCCAAGGGCGGCGGGGCCGCGGGGCUCGGGCAGGGGCCCCGGGCAGGGGCUGCGCGGCGCCGCCUUACCUGGACUCAGCGCCCGGCCCCGGCGUUGAGCUGCGGGAGGACGCCCGUCAUUCGGCUCGCGGGGAACUUGGGAGAGCGCGGCGGCCAGCGCGCAUUCCGGGAGCGGCGCGGGGACUGCGGGCGCGCGGGGACCUGGCUCCCGGCAGCCUGGCUCAUGCUCAGCCGUCAAGUCCCCUUCGGCGGCCCCGAGCGCGGAGGCAGGGAUCCCGGCCCCGGGGGCGGUCGCUCCUCCCCCGGCCUCCCGGCUCCCCGGCUCCCCGGCGCUCGCCCGCCUGCCCCCCGCGCGCGAUGGGCUCGCAGCCGUGGGGACCCGGAGCCAGGCGGCGGCGACUGUACCGGGGAGUCCGCGAGCGCCGCGGUGUCGGGGCGGGGAGCCGGGGGCCGGGCUGCGCGGGGGGCGGGGCCUGGCCGGGCGGGCGGCGGGGACUGGGGAGCGGCGCAGGGCGGGGGCGGGGCGGGGGCGGGGGGCGGAGCGCGCGGCCCGGCCCCGCGGAGGAGGGUUUUGUACAGCUUCAGGCGGAGGAGGACGAGGAGGAGGAGGAGGAGGAGGAGGAAAGGAGAGGGGAUGGAGAGGGGCGGGGGGGGUGGGAGAGGGGAUGGAGAGGGGCAGAAGGGGGGAGGAGGGGGAGAGGGGAUGAAGAGGGGCAGAAGGGGGAGAGGGGAUGGAGAGGGGGAGAGGGGAUGGAGGGGGGAGAGGGGAUGGAGAGGGGCAGAAGGGGGAGAGGCAGAGAGAGAGAGAGGGGAUGGAGAGGGGCAGAGGGGGGAGAGGCAGAGGGGGAGAGAGGGGAUGGAGAGGGGCAGAGGGGGAGGAGACGGGGAGAGGGGCAGAGAGGGAGAGGGGCAGGGGGCAGAGGGGCAGAGGGAGACAGGAGGUGGAGGGAGGGAGGGGGGAGAGGGAGGAAGAGGGGGACAGGGGGAGACAGGAACAGAGGGAGGAGAGGGGCAGAGGGGAAGAGGGGAUGGAGAGAGGGGGGAGAGAGGGGCAGAGGGGGACGGGGAGGAGACAGGGGCAGGCCCUCUCCCUCUCCGAGGGAGGGAGGGGCGGCUGGGGGGCGCCAGGCCGAGCCCCUGGGGAGCCUCUGGGCCUGCAGACUGGGUGGCGCUGCCCCGGGGACGUGUGCACAAACCCCGCAGCGAGCUGCCCCCCAGGGCGCGGGCGCCGGAGCCGGAGCCUUCCUGGGUACGCGGGUGCCAGGGCGUCUGUGCGCCUCUGCGAGUGUGGUGUUGUCUGGGGAGGUGCCUGUGUGGGUCCGUGUGUAUCCGGGGGCCUCUCUGAGUCUUUAA
rnacentral:lncRNA from 1 species